rnacentral:lncRNA from 1 species
GAUUUUUACAUCUCUAUUUGAUUCUAUUCAUUGGUCUGCAGUACAUUACAAACUAGCUCCAUUGGCAUCCUAGUUUCCUUGUAAUUGGAUGUGAAAUUUUUAAAUUAUUUUUUCCAGAGUUGUGGGGGUCCUAAUGCUCAUGGGAUGAAAAGUGCCAGUGGUAAAAUGGCAAAACAAGCUGCAUUGGCUUUUGUCAAGCGGACAUUGGAACGAUGUCGGGAAUUUGAUGUAACUGGAAAGAGCUGCUUUGGUGAGCCUUUGUAUAAAGAAAUUUUCCUUUCUGGAGUUGCACACCUCGGUGACAUACAAGCAGUGAAUUCAAGUGCUGAUAAUGAAUCUGGAAAGCAGCAGUUUAACACAUCUGGAUGUUCUAUUGAAGUUAGAACUUCAGGUUGGUCCCAUUGAUAGAUACCUGAAUGCUUAUCAACAUUUUAGUAUCUUUAAAUAAGUCUUACAUUUGCAGGUUUUCUGCAUUCUAAUUUAACUAGCACUACUUAGAAUAGAAACUAAUACAUAUCUCUGGCUAAAUCUGAUGGGACCAUCAGAUAUGUAUAUCCAUAAGCCCUGUGGAUGAGGUUUAUGUAUGAAACACGGUUCUCACGUUCUCAACCCUUGACAACAUGCAUUUGUGACUAAAUUUUUAUGAAAAUUAGCAUGAUAAGAUUUACUUUACUCUGAAGAUUGAAUGAUUUUCUUGCAAAAGAUUGUGGGCAAAAUAAAAUAAUGUGACAAAAACAUUUUUCCUGAUUAGUCUUUAAGACAUGCUUCUAGCUGUAAUGUGAAAUGUUUGAAGUUAAAAGGAUCCGAGUAGGUAGGUUAAUUUAGGCACAGUAUUGUAUACAUAGGGCAUUAAUGGUAUAAAAGACUUGUUUGACAAGCCUCUAGCUAUUUUUUCUUAUGUUAUGAUGGUACUUUUUUUGUCCAUUAUCUUAGUAUUGGAGGUGUUUUUUGUUUUGCAGCUCCCUUGGGAGCACAGCACAGCCCAUCUUCAAACAAUCAAGAAAUUUAUUCUUCUGGAGCUCCCAAAUCGGCAAAUCUAGGUUCUGAACAAACUACUGGCAAAGACAACAUCUGGUCGAAUAGGGCGAAGAAGUGCGAGUUACCGCCUGAUGAAACUGUUGGUGGUACACUUAGCUCAUCCACCAAUGUCUCAUCAGGCAUUGGAAGUUCUAUUUUGAGCAGCGCAAAAGGGAAAAGGAGUGAGAGAGAAGGAAAGGGAAAUAGCAGAGAGGCGCUAUCCAGAAGUGGAAGCACUAAAGUUGUUCGGGCUGCACUGGCCAAUGUCAAGGGAGAGAGAAAGCCUAAAGCAAAACCUAGACAGAAAACAGGUCAACUCACUGCUUCUGUCAAUGGCCCUCUUGGAAAGAUGUCUGAGCGGCGAAAAACAACAUUGCUUUCUGCACCCAUAUCAAAUGAGAGGAGUGGAAGUGGCACUGACAAUGAUAAAAAUGACGAUAAUGUAGACCUCUUGGAGGAACCCAUAGAUUUGUCUGGCUUGCAACUUCCUGGAAUGGGCGAUCUAGCUGUACAUGAUGAUCUUGCUGGUCAAGGAGAGGAUCUAGGGUCUUGGUUGAACAACAUUGAGGACGAUGUAUUGCAAGAUCAUGACUAUAUGGGUGGGCUUGAAAUUCCUAUGGAUGAUCUAGCAGACUUGAAUAUGAUGGUUUGACCUUUCAAUCUUUGUAUAUUCCUGUCUAUUAUACAAUCACAGGUGAAAAAUCGUUGUUCGUGGAAGACCAGUUACAAGGAUGUCAUGUGACUCAGUCCUGGCUGUGAGUGGGCCAUAUAUUCUUUUGGUUACUCCCUACACAAGUUGAGGUUUGAGUGAACCUCUGAGACGCUUGAAUGUUUUUCCUGUUCAAGUUGACACCUUGACUGUAAAGAUCAUUUUGUUUGACGUUAGUAUCUUAAUGAUAAGGUCUUAGAAAACCUAUAUUUUGGUUGUAGCAAUUACAUAUCAGAGAGCAAUGUCUUUGUACAUAAAAUUUAUAUUUUCAAUAAGUUACCAUUUUGUUUAUUUUGCAAUAUGGAGUAGGUGUUGUGAGAUGUUUUGACUUGUGUGUAUUAUGAGCUUCUAUUUCAGAUUUGAUUAAGUUGAUAACCUUAAAAGGUCGACUCCUUAUCUAUUGAAGUUACAGUUGCCCUAACUAUUUUGAGUGUGUAUGAUGCAGAAAGCCCUCAUUGUUCCCAUUGACAUCUGAGAUUCCUCGUUGAAUACGAAGGUAUUAACAGUGUAAGCUAAGAGGUGGUGCAUGUGCCGGAUUAUGGUCAAGUGGAUGAACUGUUUUAUUGGGGAUGCAAUCUACUGCAGACCAUAUAUCCUAUUUAAUCCCCAGGUUGACUUCCUUCAAAGUAUGCAUAAUUAACAUCCAGGACUUUCUCCGUGAUUGUUUAGUUAAAUGCUACUUAUAACUGGAGAGGAGCUACAAACUUGACUCCAGUAUAUAUAGGGUUUGCCAAUAUGUUGGUUAUCAAUUACUGAAUUGUAUGCUGUUGUGCUACUAAUGCAGCAUUUGUGAAGAAGUUCCGAGGCUUAUUUAAGAACUAGCUGCUUUUGAUUUUCCAAAAGUCACGUGCUCUUCACUAAUUUCCUCAUAUUGUCAUAGGAUAAUUAUAUAUUAUUCAUUUUAUUUCAUUUUUGUAUUAUAAAGUUUGUUUCAUUGACUAUGCAUCACUUAGUAUUGCAUAAUAUGUCCUCGAGAAAUUUCCUCUAAAUCAAGGAAAUAUUAUGAUUAUCUUGCUCCAGGGGUGAGAGAUUAUGUGGCUGUCUUUAUUUUCGUUGGAGUUACCCUACAGACUCUUGGAGGCUGAAUGCAUUUCUUGACUACAGUUAUUUGAAAACAGCAUGCCUUGGCAGCAAGUAUUUGAUGGCCCAAUAUUUUGGACACACUUCCUGUGCCAUCUGUCUUGGGAAAAUUUAUUCCUGCUGCUGUUCGAAGCAGCCCAAAAUAUAUUCUGUCACAGAUUCUCACUCCAGAUAUGUGGUAAAUCAUUGUUUUUACCUGUUUGAUUUUGAAGAUUUAUUUAUCUGAAUUUUAGCAAUUAGUUUUGCUAAAUUACAGGGGUAACAUCCUUCUGAAUAUUGUGGGUUUCAAUUUUUCUGAAGGUGUUUUUUCCAAUAAAAAUAUUUUUAAACACUGCAGACUAUUACAUGAAUACAAAACUUCUGUGCCAAUGAUGCAGUCAAAGUAAGUCCACUUAUGAUGCCCUAUGUUGCCUGCUACUCACAGUAAAUAUUUUUGUAUGAGGAUGUGGAGAAGUGAAUCCUUUUGUUCUGGUAUGUGGAUUUUUAUUAUUUAUAUCUGUCCAUCACACUUCACAAGUAGGAACAGUAUUCCUACCAAAUGAUAAAAGUUACAAAUCUCUGAGUCUCACAGCUUAAUGUUUAUUUCAUUCAGACAGGAACUCCUCUCCAAGUGGCAGCACUUGUACAAUUGAUUGUGCAGAAUAUGCUACCAGAAAUUACCUCUUCAUGUAAGGUAUUCGUAGUCAAUUUGUUUGAAGCAUUUUACUAAGUUCUUAUGUCAUUUUCAAAUAUCUAAACCUUUCACUGAUAGUACAAGCUAAAGAAUUAAAAAUCUGAAAAUAAAUCUAUCACAUUCGAAAAAUGUUGUGCUAAUAAAAAGGUCAGCGUUAAACAAAAUGUGGACGAAAUGAAAAUGCUUAUAUGAUUGUUGAUACUGCAAUGGAGGAUAAUAUGGAAGAGCCGUAUGAUUUCAGAACUUGUUCAGAUGUGAUGUAAUGCUAUCUGUAAAGUUGUGUGCAAGGCUUUAUUAGAUGUUUUAUUUUUAUUUAAUUGUUUUAUUUUUACUAAUUAAGGUCUAAUUUAUAUUUUUAAUUAUCUAGGGUUGAAUUUAUAUUUCAUUAGGAGUUUAGGAAGUAUGAAUGCAAUUUUAAUUAGGUUUGCUCUAGGUAUUAGAGCCACAACUGUAUUUCAGGGACAUUUUGAUUGAUUGACAAAUUAUAUUAAUAUAAAUGUGAGUUUUUUCUUCAAUACUGAACCAAAUCAAGGUUUUCGCUUGUUAUUGUUCUUGCUCACUUCUAUCUGCAUCAAGAUGGCCUGCACCAAUUUGUAGAAUAUCACUUGAUACAUUAGGUUAUCCCAGGGAAACAAAUUAUUCCAGAAAUUUGGCAAAAAGUGACAACAUUGAGUAUUUACAAGUGAAGUUUGGCCAAGGAGUGCACCAAGAGAUAACAUUUGACAGAAUAAAUAAGACAAAUUGCAUCCUCUAUCCCCAAACUAUACCCCAUUUGCAGUUUUAUCCCCAACAAUUUUUCUUGGCACUGAGCACCUCAACUUUGUUUCCAUCCAAAAUGGUUGUUAAGUUGGCAACGAAAGGCAUUCACACUUAAAACUCAAAUAAACAAAAAAAUAAAUACAAGGAAGGAAGGAGGAAGAAGAAAAGAGAAAAAAAAAAAAAAAAAAAGAAGAAGAAGAAGAAAAAAAGGAAAACAAACACCUUCUUUCUCAAUCCUCUGCAGCACCCACCGCCACCAAUGCUACCUCUUCGCGUGCAAAUGUGAGUAUAGGGUGGGGCUGCGAGUGUAAUUAAUGUGGAAAAAAAUUAGAAAAAGGCAAGAGCUUGUUUUGUAGGUAAAAUGUGGAUGAAUAACAAAAUCAUAAUAUAUUGACAAUCAGUUGCAGUAAACCUCUGUUACCUUGGUUUAUCUGAGUUGCGCAACCAUUGUCGUCUAUAUAGUCCUUUUGAGAACAAUUGUUCAAUAACUUAUAUUCCUGGCAUUCAUGUAGAAGGAACUGCAGAUAUGCACCUUGGAAAGCAAAAUACUUCUAGCAAUCACUAUCUUGAUAUUGUCAAAGCCAUGCUCUUGGUGAUCUGUUUGGGGCUUUCAAUAUAUAUGCUGGGCUUUUUGACUGAAAACUGGGAUGGAUCGUGGUCAUGAGUACUUUACUUUGUUAGCAUUAUGGGAAUAUGAAGGCGGAUGGUUUCCUCGUGCUGCAUUAUUAUUGCAAGUUUAAUGAAAGGGUUUGUUGGGUGCAGUUACCCCCACUGGAGUUUGAGGGAAGGUCUUUGAGAUGGAAAAGAAAUAGUGAGAUGUCAUGUAAAUUGUAAUUCUGACGAAUCAAUGUGAAAAAACUUGUUCUUUUUGUUACGUAUUGUCAUAAUUAGCCAACCUACUUGGGCCUAUGGCCCACUCAAUCCGAACCAUGUGGCGCUCUAACCGAGGUGGCACGUAUGGCCGAGGCCCUUCAUGUCGAGACCCAUAUACCGAGGCCUGUGAAAGUAGCCGAAGCCCUAAAGCGGAAGUAUUACAUAUGGCAGAAGCCCUGAAUCCAAAGCCGAAGCAGAAGCCUCCGAACCGUGAAGGAAUGUCUUCCAUGAUUACUUCUCCCAAGAGAUCUUCUACAUAAAGAUCUUACUUGAAUGAUUGAUGAAACGUUUGUCAUAAGUGUACAUGUCAAGUUUUUUCAUUAGCAUGGGGGUUCUGCAUAAGCAAUAAAUGCGCAGCAAGCUAGCAAGUCAAGGAUGAUGCCUAGGAUUGGAUGUUUGGAUUAAAGAGAUGAGGCCGCGUGCCACCUCAUCCAAGGACUGUCAUGUACCACUAUAAAUACUUCCCUUGUGUAACAUUAAAGGGCUAAUGCAAGAAUCAAUACAAGAAACCAUACUUUACUCUCUUUCAAAUUAUCUUGCAACACAAUACAAGUUAAUACAUAUUUACAUGCACAUUCAUGAGCACUUAUUGGUAAUUAUUGUACAAUCGGAUUACGAACAUCCCAUCGGAUUCCGAACGUUCUCG